rnacentral:lncRNA from 1 species
CAUAUCGCAAAGCAGAAGUUUAAGCUUUCAUCAAUCUACAUGAUCUCCAUUCUCCAACACCAAAAUUUGUACUUAAAACCCAUUAUUGCUUUUGAAGAUUGUGACUGAAACCGGUUAAGAACGGCAUUAAAACUAUAACAAGUUUCCAUCUUUUAAUCAAAAUGAGCAACAAAACCAAGAAACCCAAAUAUUAAAAGAUAAAAAUAAACUAAAAUAAAGAGAGAAAGAGUGAACUUUUCCUCGUAGAGCUUCAAGGAUUUUACAUUGUUCUCAUCAAAACUGCACAAAAGUGUCGUAUCCAGAUCCAGCUGCUUAACCAGCUCAAGUUGUAACCGCGUUUCAGCCAAUUCCAGCUCACUUGUUUUCUUUCCUGUCCUAGCUUUGAUGCUCCUUUCACUAUCAUGAGUUGGUAAAGUUGAGAUUUUUACUAAUAGUUUAGCCUUCAAUAGAAAACAAACGACAUAGGGAGAAAAUU